CCUACGGGAGGCAGCAGUGAGGAAUAUUGGUCAAUGGACGAGAGUCUGAACCAGCCAAGUAGCGUGAAGGAUGACUGCCCUAUGGGUUGUAAACUUCUUUUAUAUGGGAAUAAAAUGUUCCACGUGUGGGAUUUUGUAUGUACCAUAUGAAUAAGGAUCGGCUAACUACGUGCCAGCAGCCGCGGUAAUACGGAGGAUCCGAGCGUUAUCCGGAUUUAUUGGGUUUAAAGGGAGCGUAGGUGGAUUAUUAAGUCAGUUGUGAAAUUUUGCGGCUCAACCGUAAAAUUGCAGUUGAAACUGGCAGUCUUGAGUACAGUAGAGGUGGGCGGAAUGCGUGGUGUAGCGGUGAAAUGCUUAGAUAUCACGAAGAACUCCGAUUGCGAAGGCAGCUCACUGGACUGCAACUGACACUGAGGCUCGAAAGUGUGGGUAUCAAACAGGAUUAGAUACCCGUGUAGUC
rnacentral:rRNA from 1 species